GUUUGCUUUAAUACUUUAAUACUUUUAUCCUAUAUACAGAUUGUUUAGCAGUAUUAUCCUAAAUACAGAUUGUUUAGCAGUAGAGAGGCAAAUAUCAAUUUUAGUUUAUUUAAGUUUGCUCCGGACAUUGAUCUAACCAACAACCUCGAGCUCCCACUAACAUGUACAAGACCACUAUGAAGGUUACAAAUAACUAGAUGAUUAAAGUGUUGGUUGCUUAACAUCCAGUGGCAAAAUAUUUCAGCAUAUUCAGGACGAAAUGAAUAGCAAAGUGGCACUAAAAUGCACAGUUUAUUUUUUUUAAGCUCAGCAUUGUUUCAUACAGUUCAAUGGAUCACUCAUGUACUGUAAACAAACCUAACAACUCAAUAUAUUCAACUUUACAUAAGAAACAAAUUACUACAUGAUCUCAAAAACAAUUUAAACGUGUAUAAAAUAAACUAUCAACUAGUUGCACAAUGUCCAGAAUGAAAUUAUUUCAUGCAUAAUCAGGACAAUAUGUUAUGCAGGAGAAAGCAGUGUUUUACUUACUUACAACCCUUUGUGUCUAUUAAUGUUUGACAUUAUUUAUACAAAAAUCAUACUGAAAAUUCUGAAAUUAAUGUGAAGCUUUUAUGCAUGCUAAAUGUUUCACAGAAUUUUGCAAGGAAAAACACUCAAAUAAAAAUUGGUUGCCAGUACAUUUCAACAUAACAUGUUCAGGAAUUACAUUAAUUAUUCUCACAUUCUUGUUGGUUAGCAAAAAUGACUUAAAACAUUUAAUUCUGAUUUAAACUAUGUAGAUUAUAGUAUAUAAAAAAGAAGAUGUGGUAUGAUUGCCAAUGAGACAACUAUCCACAAAAGACCAAAAUGACACGGACAUUAACAACUAUAGGUCACCGUACAGCCUUCAACAAUGAGCAAUGCCCAUUGCCACAGUAAUCACUAAUGCAUAAAAAAGAUAACAGGAAAUACAACAAAAAUAAUAGACAGUAAAACAGACCACAACAACCACGAACAACAGACUCCCCCCCUCCCCCCGCCCCCCCAAAAAAGACUAACAAAAAGAAACAAGAACAUGCAACAUAUGAUCUAGGUAGUACUAAUAUGUACAGGCAAAAAAUGGGGUAGGGUUUAAAUAGUUUUGUGUGUGUAAAAAUGUACCCUUUAGUCUAUUUAGACCAUAUGUUGUAACAGUAAAACACAUUUGGGUGACCUACAAGAUUUCAAGGGAAUUCUAAUCUCAGAAAGGGACGGCAACAAAUAAAUGAUUAAUUAACAAAACAAAAAUGAUUUAGGAGACAGAAAUAAAUGUAUAAUUUUAAGAAAAUAUAAAAGUUUCUAAUGCUACGGUAGAACGUUUGAAAUGAAGGUAAGUUUCAAAAAGACAGAAAGGUUGCAAUACAAGAUUUCCCAUUUCAUAAACUUUGAAAGGUAAAUGUCUCAACAAAUUAUAAUAAUAAUAUGGAAUUUAUAUCAUAUGCUAAAAACAAUCGUAUUGAUGAAGACAGGGAAGAACAACUAAAAAAAAAAACAUCAGUCUUCUAU
rnacentral:lncRNA from 1 species